UUGGUGGACCUGGGGUUCAAACCCAUGACCUUCCGAUCAGUAGCCCAACACCUUAACCACUGAGCUACCAUGAGUUUCCUUUUCCAUUUUAUAGAACGACAAGUUUCAUUUACCUUUAUAUGAAUUUAUGUAACCAUUAUGUGAUUAAGAGAUGAUAUAAUUUUCAUUAGUAUGUUUACAUAUUAAGACAGAGAGUAACAGUGAAAGCUUAAAAAGGAAAUCACAAGGCUUUGUGUCAGCAGAAUAAGAACACACAGUCAGCCGUGCAGCCUAGAAGACUUCUCAGGAUGUUUUGCAAAAGUGUGAGAUCAUGAGAGACCUGACGAUAUGCUGACAGAAGCAGAAUGACCGUUAUGAGAUCAUACUAAUAAAUGGUAUAAAUAGGGUCUUAGGGCCAGUUAUGGGUGUGUGAUACUUUGGUAUUGCUUAUAGAGGGUGCAUCAGGAGAACAGACGCAGGCUUACACUUGGAGAGUGUUUCCUUGUUUGUUGUAUCUUUGCUUUUUACUUAUUUCUACUUAUACUAGAAUUGUUUGACUAUUUGAAGGAGAUUUUUGUUUGUAAUUUUCUUUUCUUUUACUUUACAUAUAUUACACACAUCUAUUUGUAUUGCACUACUUUUAAUAAAAAAAACAAGGCCUCCCAUUGUGAGAAAGGUUCAAUCAAUAGAUUAAGUAGAAGAACUUGGAGCAGAACCUUUGUUGGAAGACCGAGGGACUUCGAGGGACACCUGUGUUCAAGGUGGAGCCAUGAACACACAGACGCUUUGAGAUGUGAGGGAUUCGGAGGCCGAGUCAACACCAUGGACUCGCUCAACAAUUUCUGGCUUUGAGACCUGACUGUUGACCUGCAGCCUAAUUUAUCUCUGUCACGAGAUGAUCAUGUUACUAUUAAAUGCAAACUAGUUUCCUUUUGCACUUCAUUUUUGAAAACCGACUGCUUUCUGCAUUAGUUAUUUUAGAACUUACAUAAAGGAAGGAAGGUGAUGCUUUUUUUUUUUACAAUCACAAAGUUUUGCAUUUUAUUCUACAGAAAUUUCCCCAUGCUUAAAAAAAACAUUGAAAAGAUCGUUAAAUUUGAGAUUGAAAAACAGCUCUGCUUAUUGCUUAUGAGAGUGAAACCCCCAAAAACACAUGCACUCAAACACACAGACAGACACACUUUCUCCCUCGUUAAGCCCCUUUUUUCGGUACACACAAGCUGCCACAGCCACAGCCCCACACACACACACACACACACACACACACACACACACACACACACACACACACACACACACACACACACACACACACACACACACACACA